rnacentral:rRNA from 1 species
GGGUUGUGAGGUUAAGCGACUAAGCGUACACGGUGGAUGCCCUGGCAGUCAGAGGCGAUGAAGGACGUGCUAAUCUGCGAUAAGCGCCGGUAAGGUGAUAUGAACCGUUAUAACCGGCGAUUUCCGAAUGGGGAAACCCAGUGUGACUCGUCACACUAUCAUUAACUGAAUCCAUAGGUUAAUGAGGCGAACCGGGGGAACUGAAACAUCUAAGUACCCCGAGGAAAAGAAAUCAACCGAGAUUCCCCCAGUAGCGGCGAGCGAACGGGGAGGAGCCCAGAGCCUGAAUCAGCAUGUGUGUUAGUGGAAGCGUCUGGAAAGGCGCGCGAUACAGGGUGACAGCCCCGUACACAAAAGCGCAUGUGUUGUGAGCUCGAUGAGUAGGGCGGGACACGUGGUAUCCUGUCUGAAUAUGGGGGGACCAUCCUCCAAGGCUAAAUACUCCUGACUGACCGAUAGUGAACCAGUACCGUGAGGGAAAGGCGAAAAGAACCCCGGCGAGGGGAGUGAAAAAGAACCUGAAACCGUGUACGUACAAGCAGUGGGAGCCCCACCACUAAGCCAGUGGUGAACUCCACAUACGCAUCCUUUGCUGAAGGUGCGGUUAACGGAGCGCAAGCGACGUUCAACCUCAAAAGAAGCAGAGGGGGCUUAGUGGUGGGGUGACUGCGUACCUUUUGUAUAAUGGGUCAGCGACUUAUAUUCUGUAGCAAGGUUAACCGCAUAGGGGAGCCGGAGGGAAACCGAGUCUUAAUUGGGCGUUAAGUUGCAGGGUAUAGACCCGAAACCCGGUGAUCUAGCCAUGG